rnacentral:tRNA from 1 species
GUGGCUCAGUGGUUGAGUGUCUACCUAUGAAGUAGGAGGUCACGGGUUCAAUUCCUGGUC